UGGGAAAUUACUCGCACAAUGUAACUGAAGUAGCUUUAAGUGGUUAAAGUCAUUCAAUAGUAGAUUAGCAUUAGUUUAGUGUCAUUAAGCCUCUGGACGAGUCCACUGAGCUUCAGCUGGCAGACGGCCAGCCUGUCAGCUGUCUGACAGUUAUGUUGUGAAUGCAGUGGAAGUGAGUGUAGAGAGAGGGAGAGACCAGUUUCAGUUAUUAUCAGUAACCUAAAGACUGAGGUGGUGAGAGGCGUAGCAAAGUGCAAGGCAUUGCAAUGCGACUACACUGACAAGAGUGAAAGGAUCAUCUGCUAAUGUGAUGGCAAUCUGACUUACUGACUACUGACUUAAGAGUGUCCGUGGUGUCCAGCAGGGUGAUGGUCGACAUCUGGUACGCUGGAUUCUUCUGAUACUGACUUAAGAGUGUCCAGCAGGCUGACGAUCAACAUCUGGAGUUUCGCUCUGAAUCCUGACCUCCUCUUUGUGCUUCUGUGGCUUAUGAGGCCAUAAAUUGGUCACCGUGGCGACCAGCAGGAUUAUUGAAAGUCCCCCGUCUGACUUUCUGAGGUCAGCCGUCACUUGUUCACCAUCACUCUGCUCUGCAGCUGGUCUCCUUUUCCACAGUGCAGUGACACAGUGUUGAAGAGAAAACACGAUGGCGCACUCCACUCCUCGCACACUCGAUCACUCAAAAAACGCAGGGGUUGGUCCAGGGAAUGAGGGUCGGCAACGGUCCAGCGACGAGAAACGCAGAGCUGCCGUCUUAUAAAGGAGCUGGAACACUCUCGUGAUGAGCCACAGGUGCUGUAUUCAGCUGAGACGAUGAUGCUGCUCGUCUUCAGCUGUGUGGGUGGAGCAGCAGCAGAGGUGGAGGCUGGAGGAUGGUGUGGAUGCAUUAGCACGUCUGGUGUGUAACAGCCUUUAACCUGCUCUGAGUCAGACUUUAUGACCAGACUAUCACUGCUGGGCCUCACUGACGUUCUCGAGAACAUCGUGACCCAGGAUUUUUAAAUUGAUAUCACAGGCCACAACCUUAAAGUCAAGGUCAAAGGUCAAGUGUUCUGAAAAGCUUGUGAACUCAGUUUGAUGUGUUUCAGUAGAGCUUCCACAAAUAACAGGCGAUGAAGUAAAAUCACUGUUCAGUCAUGCGUGCAGGUAAGACUGAGACUGUGACUGAGAGCGUUCAUGCAUUUAAGGUGGAAUAGAUUGUGUUCGCUCUGGUGAUUCAGCUGUUUCAGGGCUGAUCAGCUGUUCUACAACUUGUACCUCAGGGGAUUUGAGCCACCUACAGAUUCUCCUGUACCUGCCAGCACACUGACACUUUGACUAUCACAGACCUGUGUGUGGACAUGUGGACGCUCUGUGUAACAAUGAUAUUCAUUUUAGCACUACUUACUACUGACACGCAAGAGAGGAAGGUCAGUUUCCAUUUCUGUGCUUAUAUCUUACUAAAUGCAGGGUAAUGACUGUGUAAUGUGUUGAAUUUAAUGUAGUGGACUGUCUGAGCACAUCUGCUGAUAAGCUGAGUCAAUAGAAGCACAUCCUGUAGAUAAGCAGCUCUGAGAUUUACUGUCUCUGCUGCUCUGAACGAGUCCUCUGAGCUUCAGCCGCAGACACAAACCCUCAGAUUUAUCCAGUCAGAUUCAUUUACAGGACCUGAGGGAGCAAAGCAGACACAAACUGCAGAAUAUUUUAUUUAUUGGUCUGUCAGCACCUAAUCAAGCCUCUCUGACCAACUAUUGUUGAAGUGCUGGCUGAUUGUGUGAGGCUGCAGCUCCAUCUGUCUAAUGUUGGUGUAGAGAUCAUCCUUUCAUCAGCUGCUGCGACAAAACCUUAAAGCUCAGAUAGAGAUAACAGGUGUCACACAGUAACUGUGAGAUGAGCUGUAUCUGCUGCUGGGAGGCUGAGGUGGAGGUGGCUGUGAUAAAGGUGCUUAGAUUUGCACUGGGAAUGACAGCUGUCAGGUAUAAGAGUAAAUAUAUCUGGUUAGUUUGGACUGUAGAGGAUUAUAUUAAUUUGAUAUUGAGCUGAAAGUGGUGGGAGGAUUGCUGUGGUAGGUGUGACAGCAGAAGUGAGUGAUUGAAGGAGAAUGAUUAGUUUACUAAAAUGAAAUAAAAUGUCUUCACAUGUCUGUGAAAUACUCAGCUUCAAAAUAGAAAGUGCUGUCUCACUGUGACAUCUGUUAGAGGAUAGUCUGUACUGAUCUGUCAGUGCAUUAUGUGCUCAGUUGAAUCUGACAGUGUUUGCUGCCACUCACUGCUCUGGUGUGUACACAUGUUGUACGGCCAUAAAACUGUGAGAGAUUCAGUUCUUGAGUGUUUCAUGAGGCAGAUCCUGAUUGUGUCAGCACAGCUUUUGAUUUCUUAUUUCCUGAUGUUCACAGAGUGUCUCGACUCCACAUGUAGAGUUGGUUCCACUAGCCUGAGGGCUGAACUACAAACCAAGUCCAGCAUAGCUUAGCUUUCUUUGCAUUAGCUGGCUCAUAAAAGCUCAGAUAUAACAGACAUGCUUCAGUCUCUGUUUGCUCUCACACUGAAAGUGAUUUCACGCCUCCUUUCACACCUACUUCAGUCCAAAACAAUAUCAGAGGAAGUGUUGAUAGAGGUCAAUAGAAUAUAUAAGAAAUACAAUAGAAACACAGCAGUGGUGCUGAUAAGUGAGGAAGAGGAGUAAGCAGUGCUGCAGACGAUCAGUAUGGAAGCAGUGAGAGAAAGUCCACAACAAAGUUAUUAAAUCAUUGUUGACUCAUCUGAAGCUCUGAACACAU